rnacentral:rRNA from 1 species
UGCGUAGGCGGGUCUUUAAGUCAGGGGUGAAAUCCUGGAGCUCAACUCCAGAACUGCCUUUGAUACUGAGGAUCUUGAGUUCGGGAGAGGUGAGUGGAACUGCGAGUGUAGAGGUGAAAUUCGUAGAUAUUCGCAAGAACACCAGUGGCGAAGGCGGCUCACUGGCCCGAUACUGACGCUGAGGCACGAAAGCGUGGGGAGCAAACAGGAUUAGAUACCCUGGUGGUCCACGCCGUAAACGAUGAAUGCCAGCAGUUAGUGGGUUUACUCACUAGUGGCGCAGCUAACGCUUUAAGCAUUCCGCCUGGGGAGUACGGUCGCAAGAUUAAA